rnacentral:lncRNA from 1 species
GCGAGUUGCAGUCUGCAGGUUGCUAUGGUGGUGAUAACGCCCACUACUAUCAAGGAUUCGAUUUCGAAAUCCAAUUGCCACCGAAGGUACCAUCAUCACGAGGAAGUUCAUCUAGACAAAUAUCAAACAUAUUUUCAUUCAUUUGAAAAAACAAUAAUAAUUAGAUGUCAUGUUAUCUUGUUUCUCAUACAUAUACAUUAUACAUAUAUAUUAUACAUUUUAGAUCAACAUAAAAAUUGGAAAAUUAACAUAACAAAUAAAAGACAUUAAUUCGUUUACUUGUUUCAUAAAGAAGCGAACGCAAUGAGAGCCUAGCUGCUGCAACAUUAAAAACUAAGAGAAGGACGAGAAUCAAGAGAAAAAUCUCCCAGAAAAAUGAUGGCUUUUUGAAACUCAUUUUUUUUUUCUCUCUAAGUUCUGUUUCCUCUACACCUUAUUCUGUGGCUAAGGCAUAGUAUUUAUAAGCUGUCGUUCGAAUUUAUAAUAACUAAUUCCGCAAUACAAAUUAAUGAAUUUUACUUCAAUAGAUAUCCGAGUUUUAAUUCGUAAUUGAAAUUUAAGUUUAUAAUA